AGCGAACGCUGGCGGCAGGCCUAACACAUGCAAGUCGAGCGCCCAGCAAUGGGAGCGGCAGACGGGUGAGUAACGCGUGGGGAUCUGCCCAAUGGUACGGAAUAACCCAGGGAAACUUGGAUUAAUACCGUAUGUGCCCUUCGGGGGAAAGAUUUAUCGCCAUUGGAUGAACCCGCGUCGGAUUAGCUAGUUGGUGUGGUAAAGGCGCACCAAGGCGACGAUCCGUAGCUGGUCUGAGAGGAUGAUCAGCCACACUGGGACUGAGACACGGCCCAGACUCCUACGGGAGGCAGCAGUGGGGAAUAUUGGACAAUGGGCGCAAGCCUGAUCCAGCCAUGCCGCGUGUGUGAUGAAGGCCUUAGGGUUGUAAAGCACUUUCGCCGGUGAAGAUAAUGACGGCAACCGGAGAAGAAGCCCCGGCUAACUUCGUGCCAGCAGCCGCCGUAAUAC
rnacentral:rRNA from 1 species